GGGCCGCUAGCUCAUCUGGGAGAGCGCAGCAUUCGCAUUGCUGAGGUACGGGGUUCGAGUCCCCGGCGGUCCA
rnacentral:tRNA from 1 species